CCUACGGGCGGCUGCAGUGGGGAAUAUUGGACAAUGGGCGAAAGCCUGAUCCAGCCAUGCCGCGUGUGUGAAGAAGGCCUUCGGGUUGUAAAGCACUUUCAGUGGGGAAGAAAGCCUUGGGGCUAAUACCCUCGAGGAAGGACAUCACCCACAGAAGAAGCACCGGCUAACUCCGUGCCAGCAGCCGCGGUAAUACGGAGGGUGCGAGCGUUAAUCGGAAUUACUGGGCGUAAAGCGCGCGUAGGCGGUCUGAUAAGCCGGUUGUGAAAGCCCCGGGCUCAACCUGGGAACGGCAUCCUGAACUGUCAGGCUAGAGUGCAGGAGAGGAAGGUAGAAUUCCCGGUGUAGCGGUGAAAUGCGUAGAGAUCGGGAGGAAUACCAGUGGCGAAGGCGGCCUUCUGGACUGACACUGACGCUGAGGUGCGAAAGCGUGGGUAGCAAACAGGAUUAGAUACCCCGGUAGUC
rnacentral:rRNA from 1 species